AGUAAAUAGAUACCCGGGUAGUCCACGCCGUAAACGAUGUCGACUUGGAGGUUGUGCCCUUGAGGCGUGGCUUCCGGAGCUAAACGCGUUAAAGUCGACCGCCUGGGGAGUACGGCCGCAAGGUUAAAACUCAAAUGAAUUGACGGGGGCCCGCACAAGCGGUGGAGCAUGUGGUUUAAUUCGAUGCAACGCGAAGAACCUUACCUACUCUUGACAUCCAGAGAACUUUCCAGAGAUGGAUUGGUGCCUUCGGGAACUCUGAGACAGGUGCUGCAUGGCUGUCGUCAGCUCGUGUUGUGAAAUGUUGGGUUAAGUCCCGCAACGAGCGCAACCCUUAUCCUUUGUUGCCAGCGGUUAGGCCGGGAACUCAAAGGAGACUGCCAGUGAUAAACUGGAGGAAGGUGGGGAUGACGUCAAGUCAUCAUGGCCCUUACGAGUAGGGCUACACACGUGCUACAAUGGCGCAUACAAAGAGAAGCGACCUCGCGAGAGCAAGCGGACCUCAUAAAGUGCGUCGUAGUCCGGAUUGGAGU
rnacentral:rRNA from 1 species